CAAGGUAAUGUAGUGUUAACGGCCCAGUUUUCACCCGAUUUUUACCUGGUAUAAUCGUGGCCCAAAAGUGUAUAGGUUUCAUCGGGCCUAGGGUCGGGUUCGAGUCUAAUAAAUAGGCCCGCUAUAUAUUUCGGGUCGGGUCGGGGUCACAUCAAACUCGGUUUCACCCGACCCAUGCACACCCCUAAUUGUUGCCAAUCCAGUGACUGAAUUGUUAGAUUGA